rnacentral:rRNA from 1 species
AGAGUUUGAUCCUGGCUCAGGACGAACGCUGGCGGCGCGCCUAACACAUGCAAGUCGAACGGAGCUUAAAGAGCUUGCUUUUUAAGCUUAGUGGCGAACGGGUGAGUAACGCGUGAGUAACCUGCCCUAGAGUGGGGGACAACAGUUGGAAACGACUGCUAAUACCGCAUAAGCCCACGGUACCGCAUGGUACUGAGGGAAAAGGAUUUAUUCGCUUUAGGAUGGACUCGCGUCCAAUUAGCUAGUUGGUGAGGUAACGGCCCACCAAGGCGACGAUUGGUAGCCGGACUGAGAGGUUGAACGGCCACAUUGGGACUGAGACACGGCCCAGACUCCUACGGGAGGCAGCAGUGGGGGAUAUUGCACAAUGGGGGAAACCCUGAUGCAGCGACGCCGCGUGGAGGAAGAAGGUUUUCGGAUUGUAAACUCCUGUCGUUAGGGACGAUAAUGACGGUACCUAACAAGAAAGCACCGGCUAACUACGUGCCAGCAGCCGCGGUAAAACGUAGGGUGCAAGCGUUGUCCGGAAUUACUGGGUGUAAAGGGAGCGCAGGCGGACCGGCAAGUUGGAAGUGAAAACUAUGGGCUCAACCCAUAAAUUGCUUUCAAAACUGCUGGCCUUGAGUAGUGCAGAGGUAGGUGGAAUUCCCGGUGUAGCGGUGGAAUGCGUAGAUAUCGGGAGGAACACCAGUGGCGAAGGCGACCUACUGGGCACCAACUGACGCUGAGGCUCGAAAGCAUGGGUAGCAAACAGGAUUAGAUACCCUGGUAGUCCAUGCCGUAAACGAUGAUUACUAGGUGUUGGAGGAUUGACCCCUUCAGUGCCGCAGUUAACACAAUAAGUAAUCCACCUGGGGAGUACGACCGCAAGGUUGAAACUCAAAGGAAUUGACGGGGGCCCGCAC